UGAGCUAUUACGCUUUCUUUAAAUGAUGGCUGCUUCUAAGCCAACAUCCUGGCUGUCUGAGCCUUCCCACAUCGUUUCCCACUUAGUAGUAAUUUGGGACCUUAGCUGGCGGUCUGGGUUGUUUCCCUCUCCACGACGGACGUUAGCACCCGCCGUGUGUCUCCCGGAUAGUACUUACUGGUAUUCGGAGUUUGCAAAGGGUUGGUAAGUCGGGAUGACCCCCUAGCCUUAACAGUGCUCUACCCCCAGUAGUAUUCGUCCGAGGCGCUACCUAAAUAGCUUUCGGGGAGAACCAGCUAUCUCCAGGUUUGAUUGGCCUUUCACCCCUAGCCACAAGUCAUCCGCUAAUUUUUCAACAUUAGUCGGUUCGGUCCUCCAGUUGAUGUUACUCAACCUUCAACCUGCCCAUGGCUAGAUCACCUGGUUUCGGGUCUAUAUCCAGAGACUGAACGCCCAGUUAAGACUCGGUUUCCCUACGGCUCCCCUAGAUGGUUAACCUUGCCACUGAAUAUAAGUCGCUGACCCAUUAUACAAAAGGUACGCAGUCACA
rnacentral:rRNA from 2 species